rnacentral:tRNA from 1 species
UCUCAAGUGGCUCAGACGGUAAAGCGUCUGCCUACAGUGUGGGAGACCCGGGUUCGAUCCCUGGGUUGGGAA